UCAGCUAAGUAGGAUGAUGAAUUUUGAUAAUUAUCGAUUUCUAUUCAAUAUGUACACCAAAAAGACACUAUUAUUUACACGGACACAACAUUAUUUAUAUUGAAUCAAAAAUAUCGCUUAUUGGUUUUAAAUAUUGAUUUAUUUUGAAUUUACUUUAAAUAUUGUUAUUCCAACAAGCUUUGGCAUGUUAUGUUCAACAAAAGAAAAUUGUUUCAAAAUCUUGUUGAAAUAACAGUCCAGGAAUAAAAUGUUUGAUGAAUAUGGCCGUUCAGAGACAGCCAGGGAUUAUGUCCAAGGGCUUGGCGAUCCCUCUCCAGGCCAACUGCGAGUUGUGAUGCCUGCCUAGGAUGUGGUGGGGUUCGACAGUGGGCUCUGUUGAACUUCUAUAAACGUAUCCGUAUCUGUAUCCGUAAGCAGACUCCGCCAAAGCGACCGUGUGCCGCUCAAGCUCAAGACCUGGUGUUAGAUGGGACACUAAACAGACCUGACACGACGGCCCUCCGACGAGAUUGGAGGUUUGCGUAGGCCCAAUAAGCCGCCUUUAAAAACAACCAUUACGAACGACACAGAAGAUAAUACGACUCGAUACAAUCGACAACGACCUAGGCGACAAAUAAAGGAUCACAAUUGGAGGCUUGGACAAUGGAACUGCAAAUCGCUAGGUUUCGCAGAUUGCGACAGGAUAAUGUAUGAUGAAUUACAUCCCCGCAACUUGCACGUCGUGGCGCAGCAGGAAAUCUGCUGGACAGGACAGAAAAUGUGAAAAAGCGGGCAUCGAGCGGCUACCUUCUACCAAAGCUGUGGCACCACCAACGAGCUGGGAACGGACUUAAUAAUGCUGGAUCAGAUGCGCCAACUCGUGAUUGGGUGGCAGCCAAUUAACGCAAUGAUGUGCAAGCUGAGGAUAGAGGCCGUUUCUUCAACUAUAGGAUCAUCAACGUGCACUGCCCACGGUUGUAUGUCAAUGCCCAGAAUACCAAUCCCCAGAAUCAGUUCCCCAGAAUGGUAUUUCCCAGAACGACCAAUUCUCCAGAAUGAUAUUCCCCAGAAUGCACCAUUUCCCCGAAAAGAAAUCCCCAGAAUGACCCAUUCCCCAGAAAAAAAAACCCGAAUGACCCAUUCCCCAGAAACCAAAAACCCAGAAUGACCCGUUCCCCAGAAAAAGGUAUCAGUCUAAGAAACUAUGUUACUAGAUACUAAAAAAACUAAAAAUACUAGAUACUAUAUUUCUAUGCAAAAAUACUUGUAUUGAAGUACGCAUUUGACCGGAAUAAGGCAAAACGACAUAUGCUGCCUUAUUUUAGAGCACGCAUUUGACCGGAAUGGAGCCCUUUUGAUAUGUUUGUUAGGGCUCACAUAUAAUACGAAGGAGCAUAUAAUCCAUUAUACUCGUUGUUCAUAUUGGGGGAAGCCCAUAUGGCAUAAUACCAUUUGGCAUAAUGCCGUUUGGCAUAAUGACCAUUUGACAUAAUCGUUGAAAAGAGUAUGAAAUGCAAUGGGUCGUAAGAAUAUAUGAUUUCCAUUCUCAUGGUCUGUUCUCUGUGGAGAAUUAAACUUAAAAGUGACAGUUCGAAAAUUAAAAAAUCACCCCGUUAUAAGAUUGGCUGGUGCUACCCAGCAAUUCCAAUAGGACAUCGAUGGAAAAUGAUUCGAUAUCUGUCAAAAGUAAUCUUGCUCUGCGAGCAGGGUUAUUUGAUAAUUAUUGAAAUGUCACUUUUAAGUUUAAUUUCAGUUUAAUUAUCCAAUUGAGACAGACCCUUAGAAGUAUGUAUUUACCUGGAAUAAGACAAAAGAGUAGAUGACUCCUUCUUUAAAAGUAUGCGUUUGCCCGGAAAAAGGCAAACGAGUAGAUAACUACUUCUUCAAAAGUAUGCAUUUGCCCGGAAAAGGUAAAAGAGUAAAUCACUCAUUUUUUUAAAGUACGCAUUUGCCCGGGAUAAUGCAAAAGAGUAGAUGACUCCUUCUUAAAAAGUACACAUUUGCCCGGGAUAAUGCAAAAGAGUAGAUGACUUCUUCUUUAAAAGUAUGCGUUUGCCCGGAAAAAGGCAAACGAGUAGAUAACUACUUCUUCAGAAGUAUGCAUUUGCCAGGAAAAAAAGGCAGAAGAGUAAAUGACUCCUUUAAAAGUACGCAUUUGCCCGGGAUGAAGCAAACGAGUAGAUGACUCCUUCUUUAAAAGUAUGCAUUUGUCCGGAAUAAGGCAAAAGAGUAGAUGACUCCUUCUUUAAAAGUACCCAUUUGCCCGGGAUGAAGCAAUUACGAAGUAUUUAGUCUAAGCUAGGAAAUGGUGCAUUCUGGGGAUUAGGACAUUCUGGGGAAUGUCUUUCGGGGGAUGGAGGCAUUCUGGGAAAUGUCUUUCGGGGGAUAGGGGCAUUCUGGGGAUUGGUUUUCUGGGGAGUAGUGCAUUCAGGGGAAUUAAUUUCUAAGGAAUCACUUUCUGGGCAAUAAUGGGUUUCUGGGGUAUGACAUACAAUCCUGCCCGCACGAAGGGAGACCCGACGAGAAGCGUUCUAUUCACAGACAUACGAUGAAUACCCACUGCGGGACGUCAAAAUCGUCAUCAAAGACAUGAACACUCAGGUAGGAAGGGUUGUGCCGUGCCAAAACCGCGCCGACUAAAAUUAAAUCCGCGCCAUUUUCCGCGCGACAUGAAAUCCACAUAAACCCUUCCCCCUCCCCCACCAGAGACAAAAUUUUUAGAAGAAAUUUUUUUUCAAGACCUCUCGAUUUUUUUUUCAGAAGCAGUUGGAACAGCAAAAACUAUUUCAAUAAGCACCGCUUUUUAUAACAGAUGAUAGUUUUAGCAUGUUUUGCUCUGUUAUUGUCAGUGAAUUUUUUGUUGCUCGAGCUUUAUAAAAUUCGGCACAAGAUGCAUUGAUAUACAAAGAAUGUUCAGGCCAUAUUUGAUCAUAACUGAUGAUAGAUAAACUUGGCAAAUAGGUAAUAAAAAAAAAUACUAAAACGCAAUUUCUACUGAAGUAAUAUUAUGCAACUUUGUUGUAAUUAUUGAUCACAAGAACAACUUGUGUAGAGAUUAAGGAAUUAGACAAUGCAACUUCGUUGUUUAAAUAAAACUCCUGUUAAACAAUUAUUUGAAUUUGUAUCAAGAAACAAACAAUACAACAUCUAGGCCAGCGGUUCCCAACGUUUUUCUUGGGAGGUACCCCUUCAAACUUUUGCAUUAAUUGAGGUACCCCCUCUUGAAAGUAGGCUUUCAAUACUCUUGAAAAAACAUAAUUCCAAGCCCUUUGAAGGGAAGCUCCUUUCAGCUUUUGAAUCCUUUUAAAAUAGGCUUCUGAGCCUUUUGUAGAUAGGCUUCCGAGCCUCUUGAAGGCGGUUUUCGAGCCACUUAAAAGGAGGCUUCCUUUGCAUCUUGAAAGGACGCUUCCAAGCCUCUUGAAAGAAGAAUUCCGAACUUCUUGACGCGAGGCUUCCGAGCCUCUUGAAAGGAGGCUUCCGAGGCUCUUAAAAGGACGCUUACGAGCUUCUUGAAAGGAAGCAACCUAACCACUUGAAAACAGGCUUCCGAACCUCUUGAAAAGAGGCUUCCGAGCCUCUCUAAAGGUUCCUUCCGAGCCUCUUGGAAAAAGGCUUUUGAGCGUCUUGAAAGGAAGCUUCCGAGCCUCUUGAAAGGAUCUUGAAAGGAGGCUUUUGAGGCUCUAGAAAAGGAGGCUUUUGAGCCUCUAGAAAAGAAGGCUUUUGAGCUUCUUAAACGAAGGCUUCCGAGCCUCUUGAAAGGAGGCUUCCAAGGCUCUUGUAAGGAUGCUUUUGAGUCUCUUGAAAACGACUUUCAAGGAGGUUUCCGAGCCUCAUGGAAGGAGCGUGUAACAUGGUCACUAUUUUGUAAAUAUUAUUUUUAGAUUUAUUGAGCCGAGCCUUUUGAAAGGAGCCUUCCGAGCUCUUGGAAGGAGACUUUUGAGCUUCUUGAAAGGAGGCUUUUGAACCUAGAAGGGGUUUUUGAGUCUCUUGAAAGGAGUUUUCUGAGCCUCAUGAAAAUAGGCUUCCAAGCCUCUUGAAAGGAUCUUGAAAGGAAGCUUCCGAGCCUCUUCAAAGGAUCUUGAAAGGAGACUUUUGAGCCUCUAGAAAAGAAGGCUUUUAAGCUUCUUGAAAGGAGGCUUCUGAGCCUCUUAAAAUAAGGCUUCCGAGCCUCUUGAAGGAGGCUUCCGAGCCUCUUGAAAGGAGCCUCCGAGCCUCUUGAAAGGAGGCUUCCAAGCCUCUUGAAAAGAGCCUUCCGAGCCUCUUGGAAAAAGGCUUUUCAGCCUCUUGAAAGGAGGCUUUUGAACCUGGAAGGUGGUUUUUUUUAGCCUCUAGAAAGGAUGUUUCUAAGCCUCUUGAAAAUAGGCUUCCGAGCCUCUUGGAAGGAGGCUUCCGACCCUCUUGAAAGGAGGCUUAUGAGACUGUAGGAAAGAAGGCUUUUAAGCUUCUUGAAGGGGCCUUCCGAGCCUCGUGAAGGCAGGCUUUCGAGCCUCUUGAAAGGAACUUAUAAGCCUUUUGAAAGGAGGCUUCCGAGCAUCUUGAAAAGAGCCUUCCGAGCCUCUUGGAAAAAGGCUUUUCAGCCUCAUGAAAAUAGGCUUCCAAGUCUCUUGAAAGGAUCUUGAAAGGAGGCUUCCGAGCCUCUUGAAAGGAGGCUUUUGAGCCUCUAGAAAAGAAGGCUUUUAAGCUUCUUGAAAGGAGGCUUCUGAGCCUCUUGAAAUAAGGCUUCCGAGCCUCUUGAAAGGAGGCUUCCGAGCCUCUUGAAAGGAGGCUUCCGAGCCUCUUGAAAGGAGGCUUCCGAGCCUCUUGAAAGGAAGCUUCCGAGCCUCUUGAAAGGAGGCUUCCGAGCCUCUUAAAAGGAGGCUUCCGAGUCUCUUGAAAGGAGGCUUCCGAGUCUCUUGAAAGGAGGCUUCCGAGUCUCUAAGAAGGAGAAUUGCAAGCCUUUUGAAAGGCUUUCGAGCCUCUUGAAAGGGACUUUUGAGCCUCUUGAAAGGAGGCUUCCGAGCCUCUUGAAAAAGAGCCUUCCGAGCCUCUUGGAAAAAGGCUUUUCAGCUUCUUGAAAAGAGACUUCCAAGUCCCUUGAAAGGAGGCUUCCGAGCCUCUAAGAAGGAGAAUUACGAGCCUCUUUAAAUGAGGCAACCUAAUCACUUGAAAGGAGGCUUCCGAGCCUCAUGAAAGGAGGCCUUCGAGCUGCUUGGAAGAAGGCUUCCGAGAAGCGUGGAAGGAUGCUUCUAAACCUCUUGCAACGAAGCAAACGAGCUUUAGUAAAAAAAACAUCAUUUUGUUCAUUCGGCGUUUUGUUCGUUUGAUCUUUUGUUCCGCAGCCCUUCAUACAUUGUGCUGGUUGUAGAAGGAAGGAUUCAAUUGGGAUUUAUUGAUCGCAUUGCAUAUUAUGUACAAUAUAAAUUUUUAAAAUAAAAAAUACACAUAUUAAUGAGUUUUGAUUGGUCCGCCAUUAGGCAUUUUUAUCCUAGGUACCCCCUAGGGCCAGCAAAGGUUGAGAACCGCUGAUCUAGGCGGUGGUUGAUUCCUAGAAGUUAUGCCUACCUCCGUUCUGCUCAUAAUCUCACAGAGAACAGACGUUGAAGCUCCACUCGCCAUGUUGUGAUAACUUUUUACUGUUCAUUUUGAAAUUACUUUGGAAUGUCGCCGUUAUACCAGGAACAAAUAACCGGGACAUCGGAGUCCCGAAGAAACGAUUAAAAAUUCAUGCAACCCAGAUGAGCUGACGAGACCAGCACCGCCAGAGGCGCUAGUGUAUUUUACUCAUAUUAUGGUAAAUUUAUUUGAAAGUGUUUGCUGUGAGUUUUGACAGUUUUGGCUGAUUGACGUCUUUGACAAAAUCGAAUGUACGCGCGCCAAAAAAGUGUUUUUGGUUUUUUCGCUUCUACAGUUUCCUUUUCGUUUUCGGGAUUAUUGAAAUUAAAACUGUUAUCUGGUUCUACAAUUAAUUUAUAUCCCGUCUAAAGCAUCCGUAAAUUCCUCACCAUGUUGAUUUGAUUGAAUCACAAGUUAUUGACACCGAUAGAGAACUAUUUAUAUACCGUCAAGGGGCGGAAAGGGAAAUUGGAGCAGCACAGGAUCGGCAGCCGAGGAAAAACGGUGACCGCGAAAUAGCCUAUCACAAAAUGUUGAGAAUGAACCUUGUGCCCCCUAGUUGGCAAAAACCUAAGGAACCGGAGCGGGAGCGAAACAAGGCACUUUCCGCUGAAAACUUCUACGUGACCUUCCUGGAACGAUCGGCUAAUCAACCGUGGAAAAAUAAUUCUCUACUGGUCCAUGGAUGUGCUGCGUCAUCUUCUUCUCGUCUCGGUCUUGAUCGAAAACCUUGGAUUUCCUCCUGAAUCAGCAGUAAACCUGCGCCAAACUGCGGAAAUUGUUUCCGAGUACAUAGCAGCCGACUGCUGAACUGCACCUUCGUCAUGGAAUGUUUUGGGCACUUUUAAGUUUUCCGUUUGCUGUUCCCCAGGAGAUCCAUACGUCGAGCACCUAUGCCAAUCUUUACUGCGGCAAAUGCCUCCGGGUACAUAGCAGCCGACUGCUAAGCUAUGCCUUCAUCGCGGAUUCUUGGAAAAAACGUUCUAUUCCUGCUAUUUUGGGAAGUAUCAAGUUUUCCGCUUGCUGUUUCCGGUAGAUCCAUACAACGUGCACCGACAAGCACUACCACCACUCGGAUAACUUCGCCAUUAUUUAUAAAAAUCUUUAAUUUAAGUAUUGAAAUGGAAUAAAAAUAAACAUCGAUGGAAAAAAUAAACUGUAAACAACUCUAUGAGGGCUGGCUGGGAACUGCCCAAAUGGUUCUCUACCCUACUUUGGACUCCGCAAGACACUCCGAUCGAAUAGAGUUCGCCGCCGUACCAAACUGACACUCUACAAAACGCUCAUUAGACCGAUAGUCCUCUACUGACACGAGACCUGGACGAUGCUCGUGGAGGACCAAUGCGCAGUUGGAGUUUUCGAAAGAAAAGUGCUGCGUACCAUCUAUGGUGGGGUGCAGAGGGCGGACGGUACGUGGAGGAGGCGAAUGAACCACGAGUUGCAUCAGCUGCUGGGAGAACCAUCCAUCGUUCACACCGCGAAAAUCGGACGACUGCGGUGGGCCGGGCACGUAGCCAGAAUGUCGGACAGUAACCCGGUGAAAAUGGU